GGUUAAGCGACUAAGCGUACACGGUGGAUGCCCUGGCAGUCAGAGGCGAUGAAGGACGUGCUAAUCUGCGAAAAGCGUCGGUAAGGUGAUAUGAACCGUUAUAGCCGGCGAUGUCCGAAUGGGGAAACCCAGUGUGAUUCGUCACACUAUCGUUAACUGAAUACAUAGGUUAACGAGGCGAACCGGGGGAACUGAAACAUCUAAGUACCCCGAGGAAAAGAAAUCAACCGAGAUUCCCCCAGUAGCGGCGAGCGAACGGGGAGCAGCCCAGAGUCUGAUCAGCUUGUGUGUUAGUGGAACGGUCUGGAAAGUCCGACGGUACAGGGUGAUAGUCCCGUACACCAAAUGCACAGGUUGUGAACUCGAAGAGUAGGGCGGGACACGUGGUAUCCUGUCUGAAUAUGGGGGACCAUCCUCCAAGGCUAAAUACUCCGACUGACGAUAGUGAACCAGUACCGUGAGGGAAAGGCGAAAGAACCCCGGCGAGGGAGUGAAAAAGAACCUGAAACCGUGUACGUACAAGCAGUGGAGCACCUUCGGUGUGACUGCGUACCUUUUGUAUAAUGGGUCAGCGACUUAUAUUCUGUAGGCAAGGUUAACCGUAUAGGGGAGCCGCAGGGAAACCAGUCUUAACUGGGCGUUAAGUUGCAGGUAUAGACCCGAAACCCGGUGAUCUAGCCGUGGCAGGUUGAAGGUUGGGUAACACUAACUGGAGGACCAACCGACUAAUGUUGAAAAAUUAGCGGAUGACUUGUGGCUGGGGGUGAAAGGCCAAUCAAACGGGAGAUAGCUGGUUCUCCCCGAAAGCUAUUUAGUAGCGCCUCGUGAACUCAUCUUCGGGUAGACACUGUUUCGGCUAGGGGGUCAUCCCGACUUACCAACCCGAUGCAAACUACGAAUACCGAAGAAUGUUAUCACGGGAGACACACGGCGGGUGCUAACGUCCGUCGUGAAGAGGAAACAACCCAGACCGCCAGCUAAGGUCCCAAAGUCAUGGUUAAGUGGGAAACGAUGUGGGAAGGCACAGACAGCCAGGAUUUGGCUUAGAACAGCCAUCAUUUAAAGAAGCGUAAUAGCUCACUGGUCGAGUCGGCCUGCGCGGAAGAUGUAACGGGGCUAAACCAUGACCGAAGCUGCGGCAGCGACACUAUGUGUGUUGGUAGGGGAGCGUUCUGUAAGCCUGCGAAGGUGACCUGUAGGUGCUGAGGUAUCAGAAGUGCGAAUGCUGACAUAAGUAACGAUAAAGCGGGUGAAAAGCCGCUCGCCGGAAGACCAAGGGUUCCUGUCAACGUUAAUCGGGGCAGGGUGAGUCGACCCCUAAGGCGAGGCCGAAAGGCGUAGUCGAUGGGAAACAGGUUAAUAUUCCUGUACUUGGUGUUACUGCGAAGGGGGGACGGAGAAGGCUAUGUUAGCCGGGCGACGGUUGUCCCGGUUUAAGCAUGUAGGCUGAUUGUCCAGGCAAAUCCGGAUAAUCAAGGCUGAGGUGUGAUGACGAGGCACUACGGUGCUGAAGUAACAAAUGCCCUGCUUUCCAGGAAAAGCCUCUAAGCAUCAGGUAACAUUAAAUCGUACCCAAACCGACACAGGUGUCAGGUAGAGAAUACCAAGGGCGCUUGAGAGAACUCGGGUGAAGGAACUAGGCAAAUGGUGCCGUAACUUCGGGAGAAGGCCGCUGGUGUGUAGGUGAAUCCUGCGGAUGGAGCUGGACCAGUCGAGAUACCAGCUGGCUGCAACUGUUUAUUAAAAACAGCACUGUGCAAACACGAAGUGGACGUAUACGGUGUGACGCCUGCCCGUGCCGGAAGGUUAAUUGAUGGGUUAUCCGUAAGGAGAAGCUCUUGAUCGAAGCCCGGUAAACGGCGGCCGUAACUAUAACGGUCCUAAGGUAGCGAAUUCCUUGUCGGGUAAGUUCGACCUGCACGAAUGGCGUAAUGAUGGCCAGGCUGUCUCCACCCGAGACUCAGUGAAUUGAACUCGCUGUGAAGAUGCAGUGUACCGGCAAGACGGAAAGACCGUGAACCUUUACUAUAGCUUGACACUGAACAUUGAGCUUGAUGUGUAGGAUAGGUGGGAGGCUUUGAAGCGUGGACGCCAGUCUGCGUGGAGCCACCUUGAAAUCCACCUUUAUGUUUGAUGUUCUAACGUUGGCCCCUGACCGGGGUUGCGGACAGUGUCUGGUGGGUAGUUUGACUGGGCGGUCUCCUCCCAAAGCGUAACGGAGGAGCACGAAGGUUAGCUAUCCUGGUCGGACAUCAGGAGGUUAGUGCAAUGGCAUAGCUAGCUUGACUGCGAGCGUGACGGCGCGAGCAGGUGCAAAGCAGGUCAUAGUGAUCCGGUGGUUCUGAAUGGAAGGGCCAUCGCUCAACGGAUAAGGUACUCCGGGAUAACAGGCUGAUACCGCCCAAGAGUUCAUAUCGACGGCGGUGUUUGGCACCUCGAUGUCGGCUCAUCACAUCCUGGGGCUGAAGUAGGUCCAAGGGUAUGGCUGUUCGCCAUUUAAAGUGGUACGCGAGCUGGGUUUAGAACGUCGUGAGACAGUUCGGUCCUAUCUGCGUGGCGCUGGAGAAUUGAGGGGGGCUGCUCCUAGUACGAGAGGACCGGAGUGGACGCAUCACUGGUGUUCGGGUUGUCAUGCCAAUGGCACUGCCCGGUAGCUAAUGCGGAAGAGAUAAGUGCUGAAAGCAUCUAAGCCGAAACUUGCCCGAGAUGAGUUCUCCUGAGACUAUAAGUCUCCUGAAGGAACGUUAAAGACGAUGACGUUGAUAGGCCGGGUGUGUAAGCGCAGCGAUGCGUGAGCUACCCGGUACUAAUGAACCGUGAGGCUUAACCUU
rnacentral:rRNA from 1 species